GAGCGAGCUGCCUAGCGGUCCCGGCGCGUACGUUCGGGUGCUCCCUAUCCCCAUGUCUUGGAGCGGCGCAUGCGCGGUGCGGGGCUGCCCGUUUCACGGCUGUUGAGUGUGAGCCCAGCCCUUUCCCGCCGCAGGUGCCCGGACUCGCCGGCCUCGAGUGCGUCUCGCAGCGGUAGCUGGACGCGCAGCCAACGCCCGCGCAGUUCCUGCCUCGCUCCUGCCGCUGGGGACGUGGCCUCGGGUGCCCCGGAACCUGCCCUGCCCCCUGGGCCGUGCAGGCAGGGCAUCCCCCGCUUCCCUGUCCUGCUCCCACCUCCUCAGCAAAGGCACUCUUUGCAUGACUUGAGCCUCUCCUCCCAUGCCGAAGCUGACUUCCAGGGCGGUGAUGUGCAUUGUUGGCUGUUUCCCAAGUCUGAAGCCUUGUUAGUAGUCUCUGCCUAACAUGGGCUAUUAGUUUCUCCCUGCUGAUCGAAAACCACUGGAAAGAGACAUGGAAAAAGGUUGUUUAUGCCCAUUUUCCCCCCGCCACCCUUCUGGUUUAGCUGAAAAAGCACUGCAAAGUUUACCAGGGAAGAUUAAAGCUCUAUAAACAUUAAUCAACUAUGCCCUGAGCACUUGGUCUGGACUCCCAUGAUAUUGUUGGAUCCAUAGAAGUUUUGUUCUUCCUGCUUUCCUCCCUGCUUCCAGUUUUCAGGCUGAAUUCAAAACUCUUAAUUUGGCAUAUGAAAACCUAGGGACUGCAAACAACAUUUAAUUUAGUGAAAUUAGUCCAUACAAAAAGCCAGAGAAAACAGAUCUCUCUGGAAGGUAUUAGUUCUGACAUCCACAAAUUAUUCUUUACAAGUUCUGUUGGAAUUAUGAAUUGAGGUUUCCACCUAUCUGUGGACCAACAUCUACGAUUUUCUCUCAAUCCUUAACUCCUGCCAACUCGUGUUGACUUCACUACGUAGUUUCUUGCCCUGAUGCUCUGCCAUUGCUCCACUAAUUUUAAUGUAGUUGGUGUCAUUUUAAAAGACAGCAGCCUAUAGAUAUAUAAAUAGAUCAUUUUGAAUUCAGAAUUGGUUUCAGAAUUAGUGGCCAAAUAUAUCCUCAAACAGCUGUAUUCCAUUUUGUGAAAGGCUUAUAAUUGGCUGUGGCGAGUACAAUACUGCCAUCUACUGUAAGUAAUGUCAGAUUGAUACACCUUAAUCCUUUUCUAAGUAAAUUAUCCUUAAACUGAUGUGCUUGAAAUGUGUGUGGACAAGCAGGAUCCAAGUUCCCCCUCUUUUUAUUAGCCUACAAAGUCUUAUGGUGGCCAUUGCUCAGUUACAAUCCCACCAGUCAAGACCCAGCUGCUUAUAGGGCAGCAUACAGGCAAAGACAUACAGGGAAAAGGUAAUGGAAGAUCUCUGUUGUUAAAUUUCCAUCAACAUUACUUUAGGAAGUGUACAUGUAUCACCUA
rnacentral:lncRNA from 1 species